GACGGAGGGUGCUAGCGUUGUUCGGAAUUACUGGGCGUAAAGGGCGCGCAGGCGGCCUGCCAAGUCAGAUGUGAAAGCCCCGGGCUCAACCUGGGAAUAGCAUUUGUGACUGCAUGGCUAGAGUACGGUAGAGGGGGAUGGAAUUCCGGCGUGGUAAGCAGUGAAAUGCGUAGAUAUGCGGAGGAACACCGAUGGCGAAGGGCAAUCCCCUGGACCUGUACUGACGCUCAUGCACGAAAGCGUGGGGAGCAAACGAGGAUAGAA
rnacentral:rRNA from 1 species